rnacentral:rRNA from 1 species
AGAGCGAACGCUGGCGGCAGGCUUAACACAUGCAAGUCGAGCGGGCGUAGCAAUACGUCAGCGGCAGACGGGUGAGUAACGCGUGGGAACGUACCUUUGGUUCGGAACAACCCAGGGAAACUUGGGCUAAUACCGGAUAAGCCCUUACGGGGAAAGAUUUAUCGCCGAAAGAUCGGCCCGCGUCUGAUUAGCUAGUUGGUGAGGUAAUGGCUCACCAAGGCGACGAUCAGUAGCUGGUCUGAGAGGAUGAUCAGCCACAUUGGGACUGAGACACGGCCCAAACUCCUACGGGAGGCAGCAGUGGGGAAUAUUGGACAAUGGGCGCAAGCCUGAUCCAGCCAUGCCGCGUGAGUGAUGAAGGCCCUAGGGUUGUAAAGCUCUUUCGUCAGGGACGAUAAUGACGGUACCUGAAGAAGAAGCCCCGGCUAACUUCGUGCCAGCAGCCGC